CCUACGGGGCGCAGCAGUGGGGAAUAUUGCACAAUGGGGGAAACCCUGAUGCAGCGACGCCGCGUGCGCGAAGAAGUAUUUCGGUAUGUAAAGCUCUAUCAGCAGGGGAGAAAAUGACGGUACCUGAGUCAGAAGCUCCGGCUAAAUACGUGCCAGCAGCCGCGGUACUACGUAGGGAGCAAGCGUUAUCCGGAUUUACUGGGCGUAAAGGGAGCGUAGGCGGCCUGCCAAGUCUGAGGUGAAAUACCGGGGCUCAACCCCGGGGCUGCCUGGGAAACUGGCGGGCGGGAGAGACGGCGAGGCAGGCGGAAUGACUGGUGUAGCGGUGAAAUGCGUAGAGAUUAGACGGAACACCGAUGGCGAAGGCAGCCUGCUGGACGGUGACUGACGCUGAGGCUCGAAAGCGUGGGGAGCAAACAGGAUUAGAUACCCCAGUAGUC
rnacentral:rRNA from 1 species